rnacentral:rRNA from 1 species
AUUGAACGCUGGCGGCAUGCCUUACACAUGCAAGUCGAACGGUAACGGGCCUUCGGGUGCCGACGAGUGGCGAACGGGUGAGUAAUAUAUCGGAACGUGCCCAGUAGUGGGGGAUAGCCCGGCGAAAGCCGGAUUAAUACCGCAUACGACCUGAGGGUGAAAGCGGGGGAUCGCAAGACCUCGCGCUAUUGGAGCGGCCGAUAUCAGAUUAGCUAGUUGGUGGGGUAAAGGCCUACCAAGGCAACGAUCUGUAGUUGGUCUGAGAGGACGACCAGCCACACUGGGACUGAGACACGGCCCAGACUCCUACGGGAGGCAGCAGUGGGGAAUUUUGGACAAUGGGCGCAAGCCUGAUCCAGCAAUGCCGCGUGCAGGAAGAAGGCCUUCGGGUUGUAAACUGCUUUUGUCAGGGAAGAAAUCUUCUGGGUUAAUACCUCGGGAGGAUGACGGUACCUGAAGAAUAAGCACCGGCUAACUACGUGCCAGCAGCCGCAGUAACAC